rnacentral:rRNA from 1 species
GACGAACGCUGGCGGCGUGCUUAACACAUGCAAGUCGAACGGAAAGGCCCUGCUUGCAGGGUACUCGAGUGGCGAACGGGUGAGUAACACGUGGGUGAUCUGCCCUGCACUUCGGGAUAAGCCUGGGAAACUGGGUCUAAUACCGGAUAGGAGCCAUUUUUAGUGUGAUGGUUGGAAAGUUUUUUCGGUGUAGGAUGAGCUCGCGGCCUAUCAGCUUGUUGGUGGGGUAAUGGCCUACCAAGGCGGCGACGGGUAGCCGGCCUGAGAGGGUGGACGGCCACAUUGAGACUGAGAUACGGCCCAGACUCCUACGGGAGGCAGCAGUGGGGAAUAUUGCACAAUGGGCGCAAGCCUGAUGCAGCGACGCCGCGUGGGGGAUGACGGCCUUCGGGUUGUAAACUCCUUUCGCUAGGGACGAAGCUUUUUGUGACGGUACCUAGAUAAGAAGCACCGGCUAACUACGUG